GGCACUUUGGCGGAGUGGUUAACGCGAUGCCCUGCUAUUAGCUAAGGAUUUAGCGUAGUGUAGGCAUUCCCUUCGGGGGCGUGUGUUCGAAUCACACAGGUGUCG